rnacentral:rRNA from 1 species
UACGUAGGGACCAAGCGUUGUUCGGAUUUACUGGGCGUAAAGGGCGCGUAGGCGGUCAGCACAAGUCAGUUGUGAAAUCUCCGGGCUUAACUCGGAAAGGUCAACUGAUACUGUGCGACUAGAGUGCAGAAGGGGCAACUGGAAUUCUCGGUGUAGCGGUGAAAUGCGUAGAUAUCUGGAGGAACACCGGUGGCGAAGGCGGCAUUCUGGACCGAUAUUGACGCUGAUGCGCGAAAGCCAGGGGAGCGAACGGGG